rnacentral:rRNA from 1 species
AUUGAACGCUGGCGGCAGGCCUAACACAUGCAAGUCGAGCGGAGCGGCGGACGGGCGAGUAAUGCCUAGGAAUCUGCCUGGUAGUGGGGGGUAACGACCGGAAACGGGCGCUAAUACCGCCUACUUUCAAAUGAGCAUAGGUCGGAUGAGCUUGUUGGUGGGGUAAGGGCAUACCAAGGAGACGAUCCGUAACUGGUCUGAGAGGAUGAGCAGUCACGCUGGAACUGAGACACGGUCCAGACUCCUAUGGGAGGCAGCAGUGGGGAAUAUUGGACAAUGGGCGAAAGCCUGAUCCAGCCAUUCCGCGUGUGUGAAGAAGGUCUUCGGAUUGUAAAGCACUUUAAGUUGGGAGGCGUUACCAACAGAAUAAGCACCGGCUAAAUUCGUGCCAGCAGCCGCGGUAAGUC